GACGAACGCUGGCGGCGUGCUUAACACAUGCAAGUCGUACGGUAAGGCCCUUUCGGGGGUACACGAGUGGCGAACGGGUGAGUAACACGUGAGUAACCUGCCCACAACUUUGGGAUAACGCUAGGAAACUGGUGCUAAUACUGGAUAUGUUCUCCUGCUGCAUGGUGGGGGUUGGAAAGCUCCGGCGGUUGUGGAUGGACUCGCGGCCUAUCAGCUUGUUGGUGGGGUAGUGGCCUACCAAGGCGGCGACGGGUAGCCGGCCUGAGAGGGUGACCGGCCACAUUGGGACUGAGAUACGGCCCAGACUCCUACGGGAGGCAGCAGUGGGGAAUAUUGCACAAUGGGCGCAAGCCUGAUGCAGCAACGCCGCGUGCGGGAUGACGGCCUUCGGGUUGUAAACCGCUUUCAGCAGGGACGAAGCUUUUUGUGACGGUACCUGCAGAAGAAGCACCGGCUAACUACGU
rnacentral:rRNA from 1 species